UACGUAGGGGCCAAGCGUUGUCCGGAUUUAUUGGGCGUAAAGAGCGUGUAGGCGGCCAGACAGGUCCGUUGUGAAAACUCGAGGCUCAACCUCGAGACGCCGAUGGAAACCGUCUGGCUAGAGUCCGGAAGAGGAGAGUGGAAUUCCUGGUGUAGCGGUGAAAUGCGCAGAUAUCAGGAAGAACACCCGUGGCUAAGGCGGCUCUCUAGUACGGUACUGACGCUGAGACGCGAAAGCGUGGGGAGCGAACAGG
rnacentral:rRNA from 1 species